GUCCACGCUGUAAACGAUGAUGAUUAGGCGCUAGAGAGUAUCGACCCUCUUUAGUGCCAUAGCUAACGCGUUAAAUCAUCCGCCUGGGGAGUACGGCCGCAAGGCUAAAACUCAAAGGAAUUGACGGGGGACCUGCACAAGCGGUGGAGCAUGUGGUUUAAUUCGACGGUAAGCGAGGAACCUUACCAAGGCUUGACAUGUAGCUACAUACGCCAGAGAUGGCGUAGCCUUCGAGGGUGCUACACAGGUGCUGCACGGUUGUCGU
rnacentral:rRNA from 1 species